rnacentral:rRNA from 1 species
GACGAACUGAGCGAACGUUGUUCGGAAUCACUGGGCUUAAAGGGCGCGUAGGCGGGUGCUCAAGUCCGGGGUGAAAUCCUCCAGCUCAACUGGAGAACUGCCUCGGAUACUGGGUGCCUCGAGGGUGGUAGGGGUAUGCGGAACUAUCGGUGGAGCGGUGAAAUGCGUUGAUAUCGAGAGGAACACCUGCGGCGAAGGCGGGUUGCUGGGCUGACACUGACGCUGAUGCGCGAAAGCCAGGGGAGCGAACGGG